GCCCGGUUAGCUCAGUGGUAGAGCGUGUGGCUUUUAUCUUCGGAUAUCUGCAUUGUUCAGAAACCUCAAUGUCGCGGGUUCGACCCCCGCAUCGGGCU
rfam:Tuber melanosporum whole genome shotgun sequence assembly, scaffold_95, strain Mel28